GGCGAACGGGUGAGUAACACGUGGGCAAUCUGCCCUGCACUCUGGGAUAAGCCUGGGAAACUGGGUCUAAUACUGGAUAGGACCUUUCUCCUCAUGGGGUUUGGUGGAAAGUUUUUCGGUGCAGGAUGAGCCCGCGGCCUAUCAGCUUGUUGGUGGGGUAAUGGCCUACCAAGGCGACGACGGGUAGCCGGCCUGAGAGGGUGAUCGGCCACAUUGGGACUGAGAUACGGCCCAGACUCCUACGGGAGGCAGCAGAA
rnacentral:rRNA from 1 species